CCCCUGGACUCUACAUGUUCUCCCUGCCCAUCCUACUGUCACUGCCCUUCUAAUACUGUCCACUCUGCCCACUGAAGCCUCUACUCCACAGUAAAUAAGCUCUCCCCUUGGUCUUCAGCCUUUCCUAGAUCUCCCUUAGCUGUAUGACUGAAAUGAAAUCAGAACUCCCUGAAAUGUGUGAUGGGGAUAAGCUGGAAACAAUGUCUAACUUCUCAUGCCUAUGUGCCUACUCUGUUCUACUCUAGUGUAAAAACAUUGUGGUGUUUUUCCUUUUGUUUUGUAGAGACAGGAUCUCAUUUGAUCACCCAGGCUGGAGAAUGCAGUGGUACGAUCACAGCUCAUUGUAACCUGGAACUCCUGGGCUCAAACACUUCUCCCGCCUCAGUCUCCCACGUGAGUUUACAGGGUUGCUGUGAGGAUGAAAUGAGAUAAUGCCCACUUAGCACAAGGCCUGGAACAUGAUGGCACCAAGAUUCCUCUUGUGGAGAUGAUUGUGUUUGGGAGAAGCUUUUGAUGAGCCACUUGGAGUAUAGAAGUGCAAAGACAAGCUCAAAUAAUAACGGUGAUUAAAAUGUUUUCUAAAAACGGAAAACCUAUUAACUGCAUGGCCUUCUGUUUUUGCCUGGGAGUGUGCAGGUUUGGGGUGGAGGUGAAUUGCUUCCGAAACUAGUACACUUUGUUCUGCUUUUUCUUCUAUACAAUACUGGCUCAGUGGGAGAAAAAAAAAAAUCUCAAUUGUAUUAAGGGAUAUAGGAUUUUGGAGCAAGGCAAGUGUCAUGUGUUUGUGAGAUGUGUGAUACAAAUUAUCUUCUCUCAUUCUUCUGCAACAUCUUCACCAAAGUCUCCACUGCUUAUUAUGAUUCUAUUUUCUUACUGGAUUUUUCUGGAGUUAGGGAGCAGAGUGAGGGAAGAACCAGAAGGCUGCCAAAAUGUAAGUCAUGGUAGACAUGGUAGACAAAUUGGCUGGAGAAUAAGAGGAAAGCUGACAUCGAAGUAACAUCAGUAUCUGACAAGAAGAUUAGGGCCACCCUAAUAAUGUAUCAUUAAUUUGCACAUUUUAGGACAGAGUUUACAAAUCCUUCUUUGCAUCAAAAUCAUCAUCGGUCCUUGGGUCUACUGCCAUAUAUUCUUAUUCAACUGGUCUGGAGUGCGACCCAGACAUUCAACAUUUUUUCAAGAUCUCAGAUGAAUCUGAAAUGUAUAGCCAAGAUUGAGAACUAAAGUGGAGAAUCUAAAAUAAUCCAAACAAUGCAUGUUACGACAGAUAAAGUAGAAAAGUACAUACAGAUAUAAUUCCUUUCUCUUUUUUGUCUCUUUCCUUCUUUCAUCACACAAAUGAUUUUUUAAAAUAUACUUUAAGUUCUGGGGUAUACAUGUGCAGAAUAUGCAGGUUUGUUACAUGGAUAUACAAGUGCCAUGGUGGUUUGCCGCACCCAUCAACCCAUCAACCCAUCAUC
rnacentral:lncRNA from 1 species